UGAUAUUCGGAAAAUCGUGCUGGUAACCGUAUUUCUCUUUUUGGGCGUUCGUUCAAUUUCGAAUCUGGUGGAGAAUGACCAUUCGACCAGUUUUCCGAAUCCAUCCUAGUAAUCGGCGAUUCCGUUGAAGUCUUUUGACAACUAACUGAUGGAUCUGCUUUGUCAUCAUUUUUGUUUUGAUUUGAUUCCACAUAAGAUUCGUUUCCUUUGGAUUCACAUGUUGAGAGAUUUUGCGGUUGCGGUGAUAAAUCGUUGCGCUGUUUCACAUGUUCAAGACUUCGACGAUAUUUACUUCCUUCAACGUCUACCAAGUAUGAGCGUUCAUUGAAGCGGGUAGCGAUAACACCUGGAGUCCAUAUUUUGGAUGUUGCAGGAUCUAGUUGCACAUAAACUGGUGAACCAACUUGAAGGUCUGAAUAUGGGACAUCUUCGACCACCCUUGGAAGUAGACGUUCGGCGCUAGUUGGUACUCCACACCUGGUCGACCGUGAGAAAAGGCGUGCCACCGGACUCGAACCAAUUUUGUUCGGGAUGUUACGCCAGUGUAGUAACGCAUACCAGAAUUCGGACCCACUUUCCUCAGCCUUCUUCAUAAGCCGUUUUGCAAUUUUUACAGCGGCCUCCGAUUUUCUGUUUGCUUGCUGAUGAUGCGGCGAAGACGUUACCUGUUUAAAGCACCAUUCGGAGGCAAAUUGAAUCAUCUUACGAUUAAUGAAAUUUGUCCCGUUGUCAGAGAGCACAAGCUGAGGAAUGCCGUGUCGUGCGAAAUUUUCUUUACAGGCAGUGAUGACGGACUCAGGAGUUAGGUCUUUUAAAAGUCUGCGAGAAAUACGUCCAACGAUACCAUCUGGAAUGGAUAUACAGGAAUUUGAUGGGUCAACAUUGGUGGAUUUGAUUGCGAUGCUGCAAAUUUAGCGCAUACUGCACACUGGUUCACGACAUCUUUCACUUGGGAACUCAUCCCGGGCCAGAACAGAUUGGCGCGUGCUAAUUUCAAUGUGGCUUCUAUUCCGUUAUGGCUUGCGUGGCAACUAUCUAUAAGCUUUCUUAUUAAGACGUGUGGAAUCACUAUACGGUCAUUGCGAAACACUAAACCGUCUUGCGUUGAUAAUUCGUGUCGAUAGUUAAAAAAGAUUUUUGCACUGUCAGGCACCUGAUCGAUUGAUUUAGGCCAGCCUUGUUGUGUAAACUGUAUGAUAAUCUGCAUUGUUGGAUCUUGUUCCGUGUGUUCCGAAAUUUCAGUAAGCCUCGCAUCUGAGAUGCUAAGAAAUGUUUUGAGUUU